GCUGACACCGGACGAGCAGCCGGGGUAAUACGGAGAGUGCGAGCGUUGAUCGGAUUUCCUGGGCGUAAAGCUUGCGUAGGCGGCUUUUUAAGGCGGAUGUGAAAUCCCCGAGCUUAACUGGGGAAGUGCAUUCGAUACUGGGAAGCUAGAGUAUGGGAGAGGAUGGUAGAAUUCCAGGUGUAGCGGUGAAAUGCGUAGAGAUCUGGAGGAAUACCGAUGGCGAAGGCAGCCAUCUGGCCUAAUACUGACGCUGAGGUACGAAAGCAUGGGGAGCAAACAGGAUUAGAUACCCGGGUAGUC
rnacentral:rRNA from 1 species